CCCAUACUAGAACAUCCAUUCUGAAAGUAAAUUUUCCCAAAUCACACAAAUACAAUCAUAAGAUAUCAGAGCAGAAUUAGGCCCAUUGAAAGAAAAUGGAGGCUAUUUGGUGAGAAGGAUUAGAUUAAUCUUGGAGCAGGUUAAAGGGUUGACACAUCAUUGAGGGUCAAAGGGCCCGUACUUUGUUGAAUGUUCUAUGAGUCUAUUCUACCAUUCAAUUAUGGCUGAUUUAUUUUCCCUCUCAACCCCAUUUUCCUACCUUAUCCAUGUAACAUUUAACACCCUUGCUAAUGAAGAAACUAUCAACCUCUGUUUUAAAUAUACCCAAUGACCUAGCCUCUACAGUCAUCUGUGGCAAUGAAUUCCACAGAGUCAUCACACUCUAGCUAAGGAAAAUCCUCCUCAUCUCUGUUCUGAAGGGAUAUCCUUGUAUUCCGAUGCUGUACCCUUUGGUCCUAGGCACCCCCAAUAUUGGAAACAUUCUCUCCAUAUCCACUCUAGCUAGGUCUUCAAUAUUUGGGAUGUUUUAAUGAGAUCUUCCCUCAUUCUUUGAACUCCAAUAAGUACAGAUACGUACAGAGCCUGUCAGGAAAGCUUGCCAGAAUUUUAACUUGCUUCAGAACUUAAGGGAGUUCAGUACAUCGGAGAACACAGACAUGUCAUAGAAGCAAACUUCUGAAGUAGUACUGCUGGAAGUAUCCUGGCUGGUUGCAUCACAGUCUGGAAUGGCAAGAAUGUACAAAGCUGCAGAGAGUAGUGGACUCAGCACAAUACAUCAUGGCAUAUCCCUUCCCACCAGCAAAUGUAUCUAUCUGAGCUGCUGCCUCAAAAAAGCAGGAUCUGUUAUCAAAGAUCCCUGCUAUUUGUGCCAUGCCAUCUUCUCACAGCUACCAUGGGGAAGGAGAUGCAAAAGCCUGAAGUCCCACACCACCAGAUUCAAGAACAGUGAUUUCCCUUCAACCAUUCAAUUCUUUAACUAAUCUGCCCAACACUAAUCACUAACUACCUCAGAACAGAAACACUAUAACCAUUUUAUACUACAAUAAACUUUUUUUUUAGACCAUAAGAUCAUAAGAGCAGAAACAGGCUAUUUGGCCCAAUAAGACUGCUCUGCCAUUUCAUCAUGGCUGAUCCAUUUCCCUCUCAGCCCCAAUCUCCUGCCUUCUCUCUUUUACCCUACAUGCCCUGACCAAUCAAGAAUCUAUCAACCUCUGCCUUAAAUACACCCAAUUACUCGGCCUCCACAGCCACCUGUGGCAACAGAUUUUAUACCACUCACUGGCUAAAGAACUUCCUCUUCACCUCCAUUAUAAAAAGUCACCCCUCUCCCUCUAUUCUGAGGCUGUGUCUUCUGGUCUUAAACUCCCUCACCAGAGGAAACAUCCUCUCCAAAGCUACUCUGUCGAGUACUUUCACCAUUUAACAAUUUUUAUGAGGUCACCCCUCAUUCAUUUGAAUUCGAGUGGUAGAGGCCCCGAGCCAUCAAUUUUGUUCAAAUUGUGUUGUUUCUGCAUAAUUUUGUUUAAUGUAUGUUUUUCUUGUGAACUUUGUGUUCCUGAUGCAAUGUGCCUGCUGUGCUGCUGCAAGUAAGUUUUCUCAUUGCACCCCUCCAUUCACGUACUUGUGCAUAUGACAAAAUUAUGAAUUUAACUUUUUGUGUAGUUAAGUAACAAGUAGUGUUCUCUCCGCUGUGGAUCAGACCUGAGGAUAGCACGGUGGUGUAGUGGUUAGCAGAACGCUUUAUCGUACCAGCCGCUGACUGUAAGGAGUUGGUGCAUUCUCCCCAUCACUGUCAGGAUUCCUCAGGCUGCUCUGGUUUUCUCCCACAGCCAUAAGAUGACCAGUGGUAGAUUAAUUGGUCAUUGUAAAUUGGCAUGUUAUUAGAUUAGAUUAGAUUAAAUUGGGGAUUGUUGGGUGGUGUGGCUCGAAGGGCCAAAAGUGGCUGUCCCACACUGUAUCUCAACACAUCCAUAAUUAAUCCGACUGGUGCCCACGCUAACUACGCCAGUUUGUUAUAUUUGCUCCAGGAUUGAUACUCCCGCAUUUCAAUAUGCCUGCAGGUUUCAUUGCUUGGUUCUCACACCAAUGGUCCUGCAGCAUCCUGUGUUAAUUGUUGUUUGAUCUGUCCAUACACACAAUGCCCCCCUCCCUCAACCAACUGCAAAGAACAGAUGGUGCUCAGGUCACUUUUACCAUGUUGAAUCUUCAUUAAGUUUGGUGGAAAACGUGAACGUAGUUCUUAGCACUUCUAUAAUUUCCCUCAAGGAUUCCUCACAGGAUUGUCCCAGUUUCAAUUGCAGGAGAUGAAAGGGAUCUUACACCUUCUCUGAGUUUGAACUCAUGCAAAGCUUCCUGUCAGUUUCUUAAUUCACAACAAAUGCUGCCAUCCUGAUUUUGGCUGAUUUUGCCACUUGCGAUUUCAGAGACAACUGCCAGUUAGCUACCGUGAAAGUAUGCUCCAUCUUUACAGGUUUACGCACUGCACUUGCCCAGUGUAUUCACACUCAAUUAGUCUACAGUCUACUUUGCAUUCAGACCCUCACCUUUAGCUAGUAUGACUGAAGUCUCUGACCUUCAACAAGAAGGUAAGUUUAAUACAUUUAACUUGGCAUUAUACAAUUAUCCAGAUCUACAUACCCUGACAGGGGCAGUCUGCAAGUGUCACCAAGCUUCCUGUGCCAACAUGCCAAGACCACAAUUUACUACCCAACCCAUAUGUCUUUGAAGCCAGAGUAUCUGGAGAAAAUCAACACGGUCAUGGGGAGAACAUACAAACUCCUCAAAGACAGCGGUGGGAAUCGAACACUGGUGUUGUAAUCGUAUUACACUACCACAAUGCUACUGUGCUGUGUAUAAUUGCACUGGGAUCUGAACCCAGAAACCUAAGGUGAGUUAUCAAUGUAAGGGUGCACAGUCAAGAAAAAAGUUCACAAAUUCAAAAAUCUCAAAAAAAUUCAAAGAAAAGUCAAAAAAAAUUUCUAAAUUCAAAAAUUUACUUCUUGACAUUCAUCUGCUGAUGAAUGUUGAACAAUAAGAAAGUAAUGAUACCCAUCUCUUCAAUAACUCUUGAAAGCAAGAAUUGUUAACCUACCAAGAAUUGAUCGAUAGAUUCUAUACAAAUGUACCAUUGUGUUCUUGAUACAAUACUUACAACAUCAUUGGUGUAAUACUAUAAUGAAUUACAUGGGGUGUAUGGCACAAUAUGACCAGUCACAGCAAAGCUUGUGCUUCAUUUAAGUGUUCUUCUCUUGUGAGCUGCCCAUAAAAUGUUGCCUACAUAGCCGAGAGACUGAUAUGUGUGAAAAUCCCUGAAGAUCUGCAGGUUCUGAGAUCCUCAAAUCAUCAUAUCACUGGCGGCAUCUCUUUACUCUUCCAAAUCUAUGAACAUAACUCUCCAUUCCCUCCUCUUUCUUCCUCUUGUAAGGCCAGACCACUCCUUAAAUGCAGCCAUGCUAUCCAUCUCAAUCAUUCUUUGUGGCUGGUCAAUUCCACAUUGGCACCACUUUUUAGAUAAAGAAGUUUCCUCUGGCAUCAUUGAACAUAGGGCAUAUACUCUGUUACCACUCUAUUAGGUACCUAACAGUGGCCACUGAGUGAGAGUUCAUGGACAUCUGCUGCUGUAGAUCAUCAACUUCAAGGUUCAACAUUGUGUGUUCAGAGAUGCUCUUCUGUACACCGUUGUUGUAACAUAGGCUUAUCUGAGUUACUGACAGCUUCCUAUCAGUUUGAACCAGUCUGGCUAUUCUCCUUUGACCUCUCAUUACUAAGGUGUUUUCACACACAGAACUGCCACUCACAGGAUGUUAUUUUAGUUUUUUGCACCAUCCUCUGUAUAUUCUGGAGCAGGGGGAUGACAAUCUGUGGUCCACAGACCCCUUGCUAAAUGGCAUUAAAUGGGUUUGUAACCCCUGAUCUAGAGGAUGCAUGAAAAUCCCAGGAAAUCAGCAGUUUCUGAGAUCCUCAAACUGUCCCAUCUAGCAUUAGCAAUCUUUGCAGGGUUAGUCACUUAGCUCACAUUUAUCUCCUAUCCUGGAGGUUGGUCUGAUCAACAACUGAACCUCUUGACCAAGUCUGCAUGCUUUUAUGCAUUGAAUUGCUGCCACAUGGUUGGUUGAUUAAAUUUUGCAUUAAUGAGUUGGUGUACCAGUGUACUUAAUAAAGUGGCCACUGACUGUAUAUCAUAAAGAACAGAGGUCCCAGCACUGAUCUCUGUGGAACUCAACUGGUCAUGGACCUAGCCAUAAUAACACCCUCCUGCCACUAACCUUUGUCUCAUAUGGGCUGAUUAGAUAAUUGCAUUAGUAAGUGUACAGGCAUACCUAAUAAAGUGGCCACUGGGUGUUGAACAUUAUUGCUUAGUAGUGGCCUUUUGGCCUACAAUGUGCUGACUUUUAAACUACUCUAAGAUCAACCUAACCCUUCCUUCCCAUAUAGCACCCAUCUUCCAUGUGCCUAUAUAUGAGUUUCUUAAAUGUCCCAUGGAGUCAAACAAAAGGAGUACAUGCCCUUUAGACCACUGAAUCUGUGUUGAUGAACAAACAUCCACUAUGCCAAGCCUAAUCCCUUUUAUUGUUCCAUCAACUCUUGAGGCAAUUUACCAUGGUCACCUAAGAUGCCUACCAGUUCAUCUUUGGAAAGUGGCAAGAAUCUGGUGCACCCAGAUUCUUGUGCACUCAACACAAGCAACACCCAGAGGUCAGGACUGAACCUCGAUUACUGAGGCAACAACUGAGGCAAUGGCUCUAUCAACUGUGGCAGUGUUGCUUGUUGAGAUUUGGAACUGCUUGGUGACUAUCCUGUGAUCGCAGCAACUAGCUUUUCUGCACAAAUGAUAGCUUUCCCUCUGCAUUCAAUGAAUCGUCUUUGUUAAUUCUCCCCAUUAACUCAUCCAAAAAUUGAAUGGAAUGGAUUGAGCAAGACCUUCCUUAUUGAAAUCCAUGCUGGCUCUUCAUUAUUACACUUACUGUUUCUUGAGAUUCCUUUACUCCCAUCACUGACGUUGAACCAAUUGGUCUGCAAUUCCAUGGGAAUUUUCUUAAAUUUAGUUAUUACAUUAGCUAAUCGCCAGCCUCUGGCAAUCAACUUUUACUAAUGAAUUAUUAAGUAUGUGUAAUACUGCCUAUGCUAUCUCUUCCCUAGAUACUUUUAAAAUCUGUGGAUGCAAUCCACCCGGACUGAGGGAUUUUAUCCUCUUUAAGUUUGAUGAGGUUAUUUAACAUAAAUCCUUUUUCUAUUUUAAAUGAAAUUAUCUCAUUAUCAUCUCAUCAUCCCAUGUCAAAUCCAUCUGAACUACAUCCCUGUUAAGCGCAUGUGUAAAAUAAUGAUAUAAUAUCUCUGCCAACUUUUUAUUAUUAUUACCUUUGUGUUCCCAUAUUAACCUUGCUUUUAUAGUACUGUAAAAUACUGUACUAUUUUAUUUUCUUGGAUAAUUUAAUUGCAUGCAUUUCUUUGUUCUCCUCAUUGGUUUUUGUCACUUUUCCAUUGACCACUUGGCGUUCUUCCUGAAUAUGGAAUUCUCUGCUUGCAACAUACAUUCUCUAAAACUACAGUCAUCCAUUUCCACAGAGAGGUCCAUGGGGUAUAUGGUGCAAAAAGACGAGACAUGGCAAUGGCUGUGCUUUACUUGAGUGACCUUCCAUUGUGAGCUGCCCAUAAAACGUCAUCAUAUAUUGCCAGCGCCAUCUUUUCCAUCUUCCAAAUCUGUGAAAAAAACCCUUCAUUCUCUUCACCCUCUUCUGUUGUAAGGCUUCCUCUUAAAUGCGGCCAUGCUAUUCAUUUCAAUCCUUCUCUAUGAUGGUGAGUUCCACACUGGCACGGCUUUUUGGAUAAAGGAAAUCCUUCUAGCAUCACUUAACAUACAACAUGCAGUCAGCUACCACUUUAUUAGAUACGUCCUGUAUGUAAAUGGUCUGGUGCUGUAGCACAUCCACUUCGAGGUUUGAUGCGUUGUGCAGUUGGAGAUAAUCUUCUGGGCACCACCGUUGCGACACAUGGUUAUCUGAGAUACUGUCAGCUUGAACCAGUCUGAUCAUUCUCCUCUGACCUCGCUCAUAAACGAGGCAUCUUCACCCAUAGAAUGCUGCUCACCGGGUAUUUUCUUUUUGUUUUUCAUACCUGAUUCACCAUCAAUAACUCACGGAGACGUAAGUCAAGAUAGGCUUUUAUUGGCUGGAAGAAAGCACCGUCAGCAGCAAGAGACCACCACACAACAUCCUGGAGACUGAGGGAGGAGCAGUGCCUCCAAUCGCCUUUAUACUGGGGUCUGUGGGAGGAGCCACAGGAGCAGUCAGCUGAUGGUGCGUGUCCAAACAGGUUUAACAUCAAAAUUGAAGACGUAGCCUGUACAUGGUGCUAUGUGAUUCCAUGAGAAGAAUGACCUAUAGGUGGAUGAUCAUUUGAAAAAUAGGGCAAUUAUCUAACUUCCAUUCACACGGAAAGUGGAUGAGAAGGAGUACAACAGAUAACUGGUAAUCAACAUAAAGAGAAAUAACAAAGGCUUUAAUAAUCACACAAGAAGUAAUAGGAUACUCAAAGAAGAGGUGGAACAAAGACGGCUGUCAGAAUGGCAGUGAUACUUAAUAAGCAUCUUCAAAAUGUUUUUACAGAGGUGGUUGAAAAUGAGAGUGUAGGAGGACCCGAGGCGGAUGUUAAAGAUCAUCUACUGGAGAUAAAUAUUCAGAAGAAAGUUAAUUGUACCUUAAUAAAAAUAAGUCAUCAGAUCCUGGAUGGUGGGCUCUCCAGUUAGCUGAAGACUUUGGGACCAAAUCUUAAUGAUGAUACAUGACUAGGAAUACCACAUGGUGUCAGAACCAUGUUACACCUCUGUCCAGAGAGACAAGUUGAGAUAUGCUGGGAAAACCUUGCCUUCCAGAGUACCCCCAUGGAAAACCCAUGCAGUCAUGGGGAGAGCUUUCAAAUUCCUUACAGACAGCAAAGAAAUUGAACUUGGGUCCCUAGCACUGUAAUAGCAUUCUGCUCACUGCUAUGCUUGCGUGCCAACCCAGAUAUCAGAGAUUGGUGCUUAUUUACAUAUUUCAAAGUCUUAGAAUAUAGAAUGUUAUAGACUUAAGAGAAAGCAAAGAUAAGAAUCAUAGACGUAGUGAGAAAUGUAUUUUAAGUCAGGGGUUCCAACCUUUUUAAUGCCAUGGACCCUCACCAUUAACCGAGGGGUCUGUGGAGCCUAGGUUCGGAAUCCCUUUGUUAAGGAAACUGCUGAUUAUACAGGGAAAGGGGCCCUCUUGGAUGUCACACCACAGCUUUUUCAGACUCUGCUUAAGACUUCAGCUUUGGUGUAUUUUAUCCUCACUGACCAACAAGCCUUCCCCGCCGAGGGCAGCGGAAUAGCAUCGAAGUUAGUGUAGCAGUUUACUACAACAGUUAGAAGAUUGGGGUUCAAUUCCCGCCACUGUCUCUAACCUCCUGGUGAUCACGUAAGUUUCUUCUGCAUUUUCCCUUUUCCUCCCACGUUCCAAAGACAUACAGGUUAGGAAAAUUGUGGAGCUUGCUUUGUUGGCAUUGGAAGUCUGGCAAUGCUUGAAGGCUGCCCUAAGCAAAUCCUUGGACUGUACUGCCAUUGAUGCAAAUGACACAUUUUACUGUGAGUUUUGAUGUUUUGAUGUACAUAUGGCAAAUAAAGCAGA